AGCGAACGCUGGCGGCAGGCUUAACACAUGCAAGUCGAGCGGGCAUCCUUGUGGUGUCCGCGGCAGACGGGUGAGUAACGCGUGGGAACGUGCCCUUCGGUUCGGAAUAACUCAGGGAAACUUGAGCUAAUACCGGAUACGUGCGAGAGCAGAAAGGUUUAUCUGCCGAAGGAUCGGCCCGCGUCUGAUUAGCUAGUUGGUGAGGUUAUGGCUCACCAAGGCGACGAUCAGUAGCUGGUCUGAGAGGAUGAUCAGCCACACUGGGACGGAGACACGGCCCAGACUCCUACGGGAGGCAGCAGUGGGGACUAUGGGACACUGGGGGAAACCCUGAUCCCGCCAUGCCGCGUGAGUGAUGACGGCCUUAGGGUUGUAAAGCUCUUUUCCCCGGGACGAUAAUGCCGGUACCGGAGGAAUAAGCCCCGGCAAACUUCGU
rnacentral:rRNA from 1 species